CCUACGGGGGGCAGCAGUGGGGAAUAUUGCACAAUGGGCGCAAGCCUGAUGCAGCCAUGCCGCGUGUGUGAAGAAGGCCUUCGGGUUGUAAAGCACUUUCAGCGGGGAGGAAGGCGGUGAGGUUAAUAACCUCAUCGAUUGACGUUACCCGCAGAAGAAGCACCGGCUAACUCCGUGCCAGCAGCCGCGGUAAUACGGAGGGUGCAAGCGUUAAUCGGAAUUACUGGGCGUAAAGCGCACGCAGGCGGUCUGUCAAGUCGGAUGUGAAAUCCCCGGGCUCAACCUGGGAACUGCAUUCGAAACUGGCAGGCUAGAGUCUUGUGGAGGGGGGUAGAAUUCCAGGUGUAGCGGUGAAAUGCGUAGAGAUCUGGAGGAAUACCGGUGGCGAAGGCGGCCCCCUGGACAAAGACUGACGCUCAGGUGCGAAAGCGUGGGGAGCAAACAGGAUUAGAUACCCUAGUAGUC
rnacentral:rRNA from 1 species